rnacentral:rRNA from 1 species
CCUACGGGAGGCAGCAGUGAGGAAUAUUGGUCAAUGGGCGCGAGCCUGAACCAGCCAAGUAGCGUGAAGGAUGACUGCCCUACGGGUUGUAAACUUCUUUUAUCAAGGAAUAAAGUGAGGCACGCGUGCCUUUUUGUAUGUAUUUUAUGAAUAAGGAUCGGCUAACUCCGUGCCAGCAGCCGCGGUAAUACGGAGGAUCCGAGCGUUAUCCGGAUUUAUUGGGUUUAAAGGGUGCGUAGAUGGGUUGUUAAGUCAGUUGUGAAAGUUUGCGGCUCAACCGUAAAAUGGCAAUUGAUACUGGCAGCCUUGAGUACGGUUGAGGUAGGCGGAAUUCGUGGUGUAGCGGUGAAAUGCUUAGAUAUCACGAAGAACUCCGAUUGCGAAGGCAGCCUACUAGACUGCCACUGACAUUGAUGCUCGAAAGUGUGGGUAUCAAACAGGAUUAGAUACCCUAGUAGUC